GUAUGACUUGUGAUGAUUAAGCUUUUUUCCCCAUCUUAUCGCAAAUGCUGAUGUGGAUUAUAUAUAAGCCAAUUUAUCUGAAGGCCAUGC